rnacentral:lncRNA from 1 species
GAGCCAGUGUUCAUCCCUGUUGUGAGCUUCCUGAGGAGAAGCAGACAUCUCUUCCUGGAAAUGUGGUUUCAGUGCCCUGAGAGCCCAGGGGGUUUUUCUUGGUACCCAAGGCAAGUGCAGUCUUCAAGUCUCCUUGCCCAUCUGCUGGAAGGGGCUAGAACCCUGAGAUGGAUGGAGAAGUUAGAACUGAGCCCCUCUUCAGCUUUACCCUCAUCAGAAGUGCAUGCAGAUUUUAUUGUGGGAAGUGUUCUCUUCCUUAUUGGAUGCAGCCUUGGUGGGACUGCCAAUCAAGGUGCUCCACCCUCAGCCAACAGAUAUGGAAGCCAAGACUCAGUGAUAACACAGAGGGUACACAACCUUAGACCCUUGCUGUAACCAUUGAGAAUUACUGUCUUCCUCCUGGGACCUGUCCAUUCUCCUCAUCCUGACUGGCCUAGGAACCUAUUGCUCCUGCCAAACCAACAGGUUACAGUGAUUGGAAAGCCCCAAGGGGAGUGUCUUUUUUUCUUCUUUCCUUCCUUCCUUCCUCCUCUCUCUCUCUCUUUCUGGAAAAAUUUAUUAAAAUUCCUCUGUGUGCCAG